AUCUGUAGCAGCUGCUAAUAAAGGUGGGGUAUUAAGGCACUUGCCAUUGCUUUAUGCCUGUAGUCUCCAUGCAAGGUGUGAAGUUAAAGCAUUAUCAGCGGAGUUAAUACCAUGAGUGGAGAAAGACAUUGCAGGAUGCUUCAAGCAACGGAGGAAUCUGAACAGCGGCAAUAGAGCGGUCCGAAAAACUUCCAAGGUCUAAUGACAGCUAAACUAUUUACUGUAUAGGUUUUUACGUUUCCUAGCAUGAGUGAAAAGGAGAUGUGCUUUAAUAAACUGGUUUUCUGCACAGCCAGCUGACUUACCUGCACUUGACACUUUGGCAAGGAAAUGACAGACUCAGAAAACAAAGCGUGAAAAUCAGGGACCUCCCAGAAAUUAAGAACAGACUUGAGUAUGUGCAGGAGUGGAAUGGAAACUCUUUGCUGUGUCGUUGGCUGUGAGCACAGCUGAAAUGAUUGCUUCUCUUUUCCUCUUCCUGGAAAGAUGAAAAUGUCUCAUUUUAGAAACAAGGUUGACUACUUAAGUAAGGGGAGCCAUGGCAUCUCCAAAAUUAGAGGGAAGCAGAGGGCCUAGGCUCUCUUACUAACUUGAGUAAGAUUUGUAAUGUGCAGUAGAAACAGACUAAUUGGGGCUUACAUUCAGCAGCUUGCAAUUGCACUUUCAUCCAAGACUGUGCUGGAGGCAGUUCAGUUGAACUAGCUGCUGAAAAUACAGACAUCUCCCAAAUUACUUGUUUAAAAUCUGCCUCCAGUAAAAUUUACUCCCUGCAGCUGCUAUCAUCUCUUCUACCUGGAGCUGUGUAAAGUUCUCCUUGCCUGCAAAUAUCUCACUGGGCAGCACCACUGAUGCAUCAUCAAGAACAACAGAACACGGUGUUGUGUAUAAGCUCUGGAGAGCCUGAAACCAAGAUGCUGUUUACAGCCUGCUCAUGGAUUUAGGGCUGCUUCGGGAUGCUAGAAGCUAAAAUCCACCUUAAUUGUAAUUAAAAAUGAAAGUCUCUUGGAUGAGGCACUCACAUGUCAGUAUGUUUUCUUAUCUAAACUUGAUCUGUGGAUAAAAAUGGGGGGUGUCAAAGAGCAAAAUGUACCACUAAUAAUGUACUCUUGCCUUGCCCUAGCACCUUAUAGCCUAGAGAGCACAGCAGUCUGCUAAAAAAUUCAGCAGACAGUCUUUUGUACUGAAUAACUUACACUGAAACAGUUGCCAAGAACUCUAAGUGCAGAGAGGGAGGAGGAGAAUUUUACAUGUAGCAUAUCAAAAUGGGCUUUUUGUGAAGUUAAUUCUGGAAGGUUUCAGCCUCAGUAUAAGGCCACUCUAGAGUGGUGAGAUGGUUCAUUCUUCAAAUUAAAUUCUAUUGCAAGUUAUACAACAGCGGUUAAAAAAAUUUUGACAGCGAAUUUUUCCAUCACAAAAUAGCAAUUCAUUAAAUCACAAUAUGUGUUACGACAGGGCUGAAUGGUUAAGACGUGGCUUUCUGUAUUCCUCUCUUCUCUCAGAGGAAGUAGCCCUUGAGAUCCUGAUGUCAGGCUGCUGUGAGUGCAGGCUCUGAGCUCGGCAAGCAUUUCCAAUCUUCCUUCUCCCACUCCCUCUUCUCCCUGCAUUGCAAUUGUGCUCCCUGUUCGCAAUAUUGCUGAGCUGUCUGUAAUGAUAAAUGAUGUGCCUUUCUUUAAAUUUGCUUUCUGCUCAGUACUAGAUAUUGGCCAGCUUGGAUGUGUGUUCUGGGUGGAUAAAUUACUUUGGCAAGUCAUAGAGAAUUUAUGCACGUGGCAACAGAUGUACCAUGUGUGGUAGAAUUUUUCUUUGUUGUUCUAAUUAUGUAACUUGAUUUUA